GCAAACCCGGUGAAAAUCGGCGACGCAAAGCUAAAGGGUCUUCGUUUUUUGAGACAUGACAGCCAGUUGCAG
rnacentral:ncRNA from 1 species